rnacentral:rRNA from 1 species
AGGGUUCGAUUCUGGCUCAGGAUGAACGCUAGCGGCAGGCUUAAUACAUGCAAGUCGAACGGGAUUCAGGUAGCAAUACUUGAUGAGAGCGGCGCACGGGUGCGUAACACGUAUGCAACCUACCUUUAACUGGUGAAUAGCCCCGGGAAAUCGGGAUUAAUACACCAUAACAUUACAAGAGGGCAUCCUCUAAUAAUUAAAGAACUUCGGUUAAAGAUGGGCAUGCGGGACAUUAGCUAGUUGGUGAGGUAACGGCUCACCAAGGCAACGAUGUCUAGGGGUCCUGAGAGGGUUAUCCCCCACACUGGUACUGAGACACGGACCAGACUCCUACGGGAGGCAGCAGUAAGGAAUAUUGGUCAAUGGGCGCAAGCCUGAACCAGCCAUGCCGCGUGAAGGAAGACGGCGCUAUGCGUUGUAAACUUCUUUUGUCAGGGAAUAAAUGUAGGUACGUGUACUUACUUGAAGGUACCUGAAGAAUAAGCAUCGGCUAACUCCGUGCCAGCAGCUGC